rnacentral:rRNA from 1 species
CGGGAAUUUUGGGCAAUGGGCGAAAGCCUGACCCAGCAACGCCGCGUGAGGGAUGAAGUAUUUCGGUAUGUAAACCUCGAAAGAAUGGGAAGAAUAAAUGACGGUACCAUUUAUAAGCUCCGGCUAACUACGUGCCAGCAGCCGCGGUAAUACGUAGGGAGCAAGCGUUGUUCGGAUUUACUGGGCGUAAAGGGCGCGUAGGCGGCGCGGUAAGUCACUUGUGAAAUCUCUGAGCUUAACUCAGAACGGCCAAGUGAUACUGCUGUGCUAGAGUGCGGAAGAGGCAACCGGAAUUCUUGGUGUAUCGGUGAAAUGCGUAGAUAUCAAGAGGAACACCUGAGGCGAAGGCGGGUUGCUGGGCCGACACUGACGCUGAUGCGCGAAAGCCAGGGGAGCAAACG